rnacentral:rRNA from 1 species
GCUUGUCUCAAAGAUUAAGCCAUGCAUAUCUAAGAAUAACUAACAUUAUCUUGAAUCUGUGAAUGGCUCAUUAUAUCAGUUAUAGUUUACAUGAUAGUCAAUACUACUUGGAUAACCGUAGUAAUUCUAGAGCUAAUACAUGCGAAAAAUCUCGACUCACGGAGAGAUGCUUUUAUUAGAUCAAAACCAAACGGCUUCGGCCGUCUCAUUGGUGACUCUGAAUAACUUUGGGCUGAUCGUAUGGCCUUGUGCCGACGACGUUUCCUUCGAAGGUGUGCCCUAUCAACUGUCGACUGUGAUAUAGACGCUCACAGUGGUUUUGACGGGUAACGGGGAAUCAGGGUUCGAUUCCGGAGAGGGAGCCUUAAAAACGGCUACCACAUCCAAGGAAGGCAGCAGG